rnacentral:lncRNA from 1 species
CUUGUUCUGUUCAAGUAUCGGCCACAGGUAUCGGCAAAUGCUCAAGUGAACGAACUGUUUCAUGCGGAAGUAAAUUCAUUUUUAUAAUUCAAUCCUGUCGUUUUUUCAGUUAUCGUCUCCUCAGUACUCUUCUAUCUGCUGUCAGAAAAUAUUCCAAUGAGUGAAACAAAGGAUGCAACUAAACUACUGCAAGAGAUGGCAGAUGCUAUUCCUGAAUCGUCGUAUUCGAGAAUAAUGAAGACUGGCGUAAGAAAAGUCUUGUGGACAAGAAUGAAUAUGUUCUAAAAAAGAAUCUAUUCACAGAUGUAUGUUUUAUUGUUGGUGAAGAAAAAAAGAGAUUCAAAGCAAUCAAAAGCAUCCUUUCAGUCGGGAGUCCAGUUUUUGCAACCAUGCUAAGUGAACGGUGGUCGUCUGAUGAAAGCGAAAUUGAGAUACCCGAUGUAAAGCCAGAUGCUUUCUAUGAACUUCUCAGAUUCAUUUACUGUGAAAAAGCUGAACUUCGCUGCGAUGCUUGGCCUAUUUUAUAUGCAGCGAUAAAAUAUGAUGUAGCAGCAUUGAAGAAUAAGUGCAUCGAUUUCCUCAAACAAAGUCUGUCCAGUGCAAAUGUUUGUUUUCGAUUAAUGAAGGUAAGGGAAUCAACAGUGCUGUAUUUUUAAUCGAAAUGUAAAUCAGUGUUAUUAAUCAAGUUGUGGUAUAUGCUGCAGGCAAAUAAUCAAAUCAGGCAUUUGACAAAAUGCCUGAAAAUUUGUGUCAAAUAUUCUCACUCAGUUUAAAAUUCUGAUUCUUCUGCUGAUUUUGGACAAAAUAAUUAUUUGUCUUCAUUGACAGGAAUUAUUGUUAAAAAUUUGCGUCAUUUUAUGGUCGCUGUAAUGAUUUCCAGCCCAGAAAGGAACAUUUAUUUUAUACUAUUGAUAAUGUUUUGAAGUAAGUAUAGAGUUUUUAUAAUUUUGGUGGCUAAAAGUGAAUAGGAGCAUUUUGAAACAGAAAAUACAGUGAAAGCUCGUAGUUUGACGAAUUCUUACUUUCAAAAUAUUGAAAAUUCGGGAGCUGUUUGUAAAAACAUGCAAAACUUUGUAAACUUUCAAAAUUUGACCAUCCAAACCUAACCUAACUCGAAAUAACUUAGGUUUCUAUGUUGUUACGUUGCAAGAAGAAAUUGCAGCCUUGUAA